UGGGGAAUCUUCCGCAAUGGACGAAAGUCUGACGGAGCAACGCCGCGUGAACGAUGAAGGUCUUCGGAUUGUAAAGUUCUGUUUUUAGGGAAGAAUGUGCUUGGGGUGAACAAUCUCGAGUAAUGACGUUACCUAAAGAGGAAGUCACGGCUAACUACGUGCCAGCAGCCGCGGUAAUACGUAGGUGGCGAGCGUUGUCCGGAAUUAUUGGGCGUAAAGCGCAUGUAGGCGGGAAUAUAAGUCUGUUGUGAAAAUGCGGGGCUCAACCCCGUAUUGCAAUGGAAACUGUAUUUCUUGAGUGCAGGAGAGGAAAGGGGAAUUCCCAGUGUAGCGGUGAAAUGCGUAGAUAUUGGGAGGAACACCAGUGGCGAAGGCGCCUUUCUGGACUGUGUCUGACGCU
rnacentral:rRNA from 1 species